AUAUUGCGCAAUGGAGGGAACUCUGACGCAGCAACGCCGCGUGAAGGAAGAAGGCUUUCGGGUUGUAAACUUCUUUGAUCGGGGACGAAGAUGACGGUACCCGAGGAACAAGCCCCGGCUAACUACGUGCCAGCAGCCGCGGUAAUACGUAGGGGGCGAGCGUUGUCCGGAAUUACUGGGCGUAAAGGGUACGUAGGCGGCUAUAUAAGUCAGGUGUGAAAUACCAGUGCUUAACACUGGAAUUGCAUUUGAAACUGUGUAGCUUGAGUGCAGGAGAGGAAAGUGGAAUUCCUAGUGUAGCGGUGAAAUGCGUAGAGAUUAGGAGGAACACCAGUGGCGAAGGCGACUUUCUGGACUGUAACUGACGCUGAGGUACGAAAGCGUGGGUAGCGAAC
rnacentral:rRNA from 1 species